CAAGCCCUACGGGGGGCAGCAGUGAGGAAUAUUGGUCAAUGGGCGGGAGCCUGAACCAGCCAAGUCGCGUGAAGGAAGAAGGUACUUAGUAUUGUAAACUUCUUUUGUCAGGGAACAAAGGCGGGGACUAGUCCCCGGAUGAGGGUACCUGAAGAAAAAGCAUCGGCUAACUCCGUGCCAGCAGCCGCGGUAAUACGGAGGAUGCGAGCGUUAUCCGGAUUUAUUGGGUUUAAAGGGUGCGCAGGCGGCCUGUUAAGUCAGCGGUAAAAUCCCGGGGCUCAACCCCGGCGAGCCGUUGAAACUGC
rnacentral:rRNA from 1 species